AUUGAACGCUGGCGGCAUGCUUUACGCAUGCAGGUCGAACGGUAACAGGCCGCAAGGUGCUGACGAGUGGCGAACGGGUGAGUAAUGCAUCGGAACGUGCCCAGUCGUGGGGGAUAACGCAGCGAAAGCUGCGCUAAUACCGCAUACGAUCUAUGGAUGAAAGCGGGGGACCGUAAGGCCUCGCGCGAUUGGAGCGGCCGAUGUCAGAUUAGGUAGUUGGUGGGGUAAAGGCUCACCAAGCCGACGAUCUGUAGCUGGUCUGAGAGGACGACCAGCCACACUGGGACUGAGACACGGCCCAGACUCCUACGGGAGGCAGCAGUGGGGAAUUUUGGACAAUGGGGGCAACCCUGAUCCAGCAAUGCCGCGUGCAGGAAGAAGGCCUUCGGGUUGUAAACUGCUUUUGUACGGAACGAAACGGCUCUGGUUAAUACCUGGGGCUAAUGACGGUACCGUAAGAAUAAGCACCGGCUAACUACGUGCCAGCAGCCGCGGUAACAC
rnacentral:rRNA from 1 species